rnacentral:other from 1 species
UUAUCCCUGCCGUGCCCGUGAGGACUUGAAAAAAGUUGAACCAACAGUAUUUUAACGGGAGCCCAAACUUCCUUGACGGCUUCGCUGUUAAGGAGAGGCGCCCACCUGUAAAAAGGGUUCAAACAGAGUCAGUUCCACGGCAAUGCGCGGGGAUUUU